rnacentral:lncRNA from 1 species
GGUCCUAAGGGAGCUUCGCCCGAUCGUUUGCUAGAUAGAAUCCCUUUGUUUAAAAAGCUAUACUUCAAGGCGAAAUCCGACUAUGUGAGGAACCUAUUCCACCGUUUGGAUGGAAAGCAAUUUUGGAGUUUUUUUCCGAAGAGGAGGCCAAAUUGGCCGAGAUGAUCUUGAGCCCGUGCGGAGGGAAAAUGGACGAGAUCGGAAUCUUCGAUUCCCUUUCCUUAUAGAAUUGGGAAUCUCUACGAAAUACAGCAAUUGGUGUAUUGGGAAGAGAAAGGGGAAGAGAAAUCAGAAAAGUACAUAAAUUGGAUAAGAAAUCUCUAUAGUUAUAUGGCUCCUUUUGUUUUUAAAUCCCCAAGAGCUGCUUAUAUCAACUAUAGAAAUCUUGAUGUGGGGGUGAACAAUAAAAGUGGAAACACAAGCAUUGCACAAACCGGCAUUUGGGGGAUCAAAUAUAUGAAAAACAAUUUGAAUAGAUUAGCACAAUUGAAGACAAUGGCUGAUCCUCGGAAUUUCUUCAAGAAUGAACAAAGCGUUCCAACUUUGCCUUCAUGGUGGAAGAAGGGGGGCUAUGAAAAUAUGAUUUUAGCAACAAUUUAUGGUUUAAUUAUUAUAGUGGUGUUGAAGUAUUGGUGUGUGUAGUACAGUGUAAUAAAGUACUGGUGUGUAUAAUAAACUUGUGUAAUAAAGUUUAAUGAAAAGUGUCAUACUAUUGUUUGUUUGGUAAAAUAAGUAACAUGAUCAUACCCAACCGAAUCAAAUCAAAUCAAAUCAAAAUAAGUUUUUGUCUCAAUUAAUUAUAGUCAACUACAUCAAUUAUUUUAUUUAUUGAGCUCUAUCAAUGUCCAAAUGCUUACUGAGAUUCGAACCAAUCAUAUCUUUUUUUAUUACCACAUCUAACAUUAAAUUCGGUUUACUCCUCCCUCUAGAGUUGCCACUAACAUAAUCAUAUCACCUCUUCUUAUUAGUGCAUCAGUAGGCCUACAAUGCGUAUGUCCGAACUACCUAAGUCUAAUUUGUCUUAGCUUAUUCUCAACUUGUGCAACCCCAAUCAUGUCACGGAUGUUAGCAUUCUCAAACCUAUCCUUCAUAGUUUUACGACUCUUACUGCACAUCCACCUCAACAAUAUUUUUAUUUCAGUUACACUCAUUUUAGUCAUAAGUUGCUUCUUAACAGCCCAACAUUAUGUCCCAUAGGAUUCAUUUUAUGAGACUAGUGAAAAGGUUUUAAUUCCAGGCUAAAUUUCACUGGGCGUCAAUUAUUUUAAAAUAUCAGUCACAUUCUUUACUUUUGAAAUAUUAUAAAUAUUUCCUUAAUCAUAAUUUUUUGACAGAAAAUAACAACAUUGUGCACAAAUGAAAGGCUAUAAUGCAUUUUUCUCAAUAUAUCAAUUAGAAUUAAGGUCGUAGAUGUCACUAAUAUUUUAGAACCUAUAAGAGAGAUGACUAUAUUUUUCAGAAACUCAACAAUGUGAAUAAAAUUUACCCUGCAAAAAUUUUAUGAUUAAUAAAAGGAGCAAACUUCUUUGUGAAGUUUGCUUUUGGACCGAACCAGUGCAGUCCAAAUAUUUUGGGUUUUAUUUUGAAUCCAUUUUGAUAAUCCAAAUCAUUUAUAUUGUGGACCCCAUCAAGAACUAUAUUAAAGAUAAAUAAAUAUAAUCUUGUGUGACACACUUAUUUAUUAAGUUAUAAAACGAGAAUAUAUGGUUACCGAACUAUGUCCAAUCAAUAUGAUUUUUUAUAAUACUGAUAUUUACGGCGUAGUCUACAAUAUAAACGAUUUGUAUCAUCAAAAUAGACUCAAAAUACUUAAAUUGUACGGUACAGUCCAUAUAAAUGGACUUCAGAGAAGCCAAAUCUUAAUAAAAAGCUUCAUAUCUCCUAUUUGGUGUAUCUGAGCCUAUGUUAAAAUUUGUUUUUAAAAUUAAAAGUAUUAAAAUAAAGCUCCUAAAAAUUAUUCUUUUCAAAUUUUUAUAAAUUAUUUUUAACUUAUAAACACAAGUAGGACAAGUUGUGCUUAACAUAAUUUAUAGUCAUUUUUAAUUAAAAACUGAAACAAGUUAAAUUUACAAGUUGUUUUAGCUAGUCCAAUCAGAUACGUUAUAACUUUCAUUCUCUCUCUAAAAAAGUCUCCCCCUCAGUCUAGUUUGUUCUUCGGAUUCUCUCGUUCCUUUCAUUCUCUCUCUCUUCAAAAAGUUCUAUGUUCUUGAUAUUAUUCUGUACUUUCCAUCUGUUCUGAUAUUUUAAUUUGUCAAACCUCCGAAACGCAAUUACUUUCUUGGUCAUCCCAUGAAAUGAAGGUAGCCCCUUUUAAAACAAAAAGACGACGCGAAAUCAUAUGGAAAGGAAAAACGCAUUAUUCCUUGGUCAUCCACUUGAAAUGAAGUUACCCUUUAAAACACACAAGACGAAAAUCAUAGGAAAUAGGAAAACGCAAAUUAUUCCUUGGGUUACCACUGCAAAUGAAAUUAACCCUUUAAAACACGCAGGGAUAUGGAAUUUGUAAGGACUUCAAUGGUAGAAAAGUGACCACACAAAUUGGUCAAAUAAGAGCCAAUCAUUUCUAACCCUUUAACUUACUUUGCCCAAAAUCCAAUUUGUAUCACUCAUCUUUAAAAAAUUUUUUGAACACAUUAAAUAGUUACAGGUCUUAUCACAUUGGACAAAAGUACAACUUCCCUCAUUCUCCGUUAACUCAGGACCCCACCCAGUGCUCGUUUACACAGCCACUCCAAUAAACCAGUUCAGCACUCUCUAGCCCAUCAUGUAAACUAAACUCAAGCUCCAAUCCACUUAAACAACAUAAUCCUCACUAAACACAAAACCCCUUCCUACCCAAAUUCACAACCUCCUAACCUUCACCCUUAGGCAUGCCUUAUUCUAAGCCUCCACCUCCCUCUCCUUUACCUCUUUUAAGAUUGACUGCCCUCCCUCCCUCCCUCCCUCCCGCGAUUCUGGAACUAAUCAUCCUUCCUAUCUCCCCUAUUUAAAACCCUAGACCUAUAGCCCCAAUUUCAAUCUAUAGCGCUCUCUCUCUCACACUCACUCACACACACACAAUGCACAAGAAGAGAGGGAACGGGGUGGUAGUGUUUGGUGAGGCAGGAGAUUGAGAUGGACAUCGACGUUGAUGGUUCCAGAGGUGGAGGUCAUGUGACUAAGGUGCUUGGGUUUAGAUGGAGAGGCGAAGAGAGGUAGAUGGAUAUUUCUCAGUCCAUUAUAUUAGAGACUAACUAAGGCCUCGUUUGUUUGCAGGAACUGGACAAGGAGUCUCCGGACUAAUAGCUCCGGACUACUGGCCCCGUGAUUAUAUCAUGUAAGCCGUUUAUUUUGCUCCGGACAAAACUCGAGAUAAGUGGUUAGUUCCAGUUUUGUUCAGUGUGUGAUGCUAAGCAAUAGGAAUGGGACAAAUUGAGGAAAUGACAAAAACAUACCCUUUUACAUUAUCAGUUUUAUUUAUUUUGGAUAAAUAAGUUUUCUUUUUUAAAAAUUAAAACGUUUUUCUGCAAAAAUAUUUUUUUUAAAUAUUUAAUAAAAAAUAUAUAAAAAAAUAAUUUUGAAAUAUAUAUUUUUUGAAAAACAGUUUCAGAAAAUAUAAUGUUUUUCUUGUAUAGUAUUUAUUUAUAUUUUUUACUAAUAUUAAAUAAUAAAUUUUAAUAUUCGUGAUAUUUUUAAUUAUUUUUAGUAAAAAAUGUAAAACUUUGAUUCUCUUACGAGAUAAGGACUGAAAAUAUAUAAAUUUUUUAUUUAAUUUUAAAUAUAAUUUAUAAAAAUUAUUAUUUUUGAAAAAAAAUAUUAUUUUAAAACAAUAACUUUAAUUUUUUAUAAAAGCAAAAUAUUAUAUUUUUAAAAAUUGUUCGCAAUAAAAUUAUAAUUCCAAAAUUAUUUUGUUUAAUAUUUUUUUCGAUUAAAUAUUUUUUAAAAAAAAAGAUUUUUUUAGAAAAAACGAUUAAAUUUAAAAAAAAAAACUUGUUAUCCAAAAAAACAAAACUGAUAAAAAUUCAAUUUAAUAAAAAAAUUAAAAAAAUAUAUUUAAAAAACUAAUAAAAAAAAGAAAAGGAAAAAAAAUAUAAAAAAAAUGAUUUAGAGAGAGGAGCAGAGAGAGGAGAGAGAGAGGAAGAGAAAUUAUUCAGGUGUAAGGGGACAAAUUAGUAUUUUAUAUUAAUCCGACUAGGCUGGUCCGCGGACAAGUGGUGCCCACCCCACCCCCCCACCCCCGGGACAGCAUAGGCCCCACAUACGCCGGACUAUUAGUCCGUUCGGACGAAAUAGUCGGAGUUAUUUGUAACAAACGCCGGCCUGGACUGGACUGUUAUCCAGUCGGCCUAGUAGUCCGGCGAAACAAACUGGCCUAAAGGUUCAAAGUUCAAUUGAGUACUCUACAAAUUAUAAGUCUCGUUGUUUGCCAGGACUAGACAAGAAGUCUCCGACUAAUAGCCCCGGACACUUGGCCCCGGAUAUAAUGUCGGACUGAAUCUAUCGUGUAGCCAUUUGUUUGCUCCGGAGAAAAAUUCUGGAUAAGUGGUAGUCCAGGUCUUUUACCAUGUGCGUUUGCUCAGCAUCGGAUGGACAAAUGAAAGAAAUGACCAAAUACCCUUUCACAUUAUCAGUUUUAUUUAUUUUGGAUACCAACAAGCUUUCUUUUAAAAAUUAACCGUUUUUUAUUGAAAAAAUAUUUUUUAAAAAAUUAUUUAAUAAACAAUAUAUAAAAAAAAUUAAUUUUGAAAUAUAUAUUUUAUAAAACAGUUUUCAGAAAAUAUAAUAGUGUUUCUUUUAUAGUAUUUAUUUAUAUUUUUUACUAAUAUGAAAAAUUAAUUUUUAAUAUUAGUUGAUAUUUUUAAAACUAUUUUGAUUAAAAUUUUAAAUUUUUUUUGGAUUUCUACUUAACGAGAUUAAGACUGAAAAAUGUAAACUUUUUAUUUAAUUUUUGAAAAAAUAAUGUGUAAAAAAUUAUUAUUUUUGAAAAAAAAAUACUAUUUUUAAAAAAAUAACUUAAUUUU